GACAGAGGGUGCAAACGUUGUUCGGAAUUACUGGGCGUAAAGCGUGUGUAGGCGGCUAAGUAAGUCGGAUGUGAAAGCCCCGGGCUCAACCCGGGAAGUGCACUCGAUACUGCUUAGCUUGAGUAUCGGAGAGGUUGGUGGAAUUCUCGGUGUAGAGGUGAAAUUCGUAGAUAUCGAGAGGAACAUCUGUGGCGAAGGCGGCUCACUGGACCGGCAUUGACGCUGAGGUGCGAAAGCGUGGGGAGCAAACAGG
rnacentral:rRNA from 1 species